AGAGUUUGAUCCUGGCUCAGGAUGAACGCUAGCGACAGGCCUAACACAUGCAAGUCGAGGGGCAGCGGAGAGGUAGCAAUACCUUUGCCGGCGACCGGCGCACGGGUGAGUAACACGUAUGCAAUCCACCUGUAACAGGGGGAUAACCCGGAGAAAUCCGGACUAAUACCCCAUAAUAUGGACGUUCCGCAUGGAGAGUCCAUUAAAGAGAGCAAUUUUGGUUACAGACGAGCAUGCGCUCCAUUAGCCAGUUGGCGGGGUAACGGCCCACCAAAGCGACGAUGGAUAGGGGUUCUGAGAGGAAGGUCCCCCACAUUGGAACUGAGACACGGUCCAAACUCCUACGGGAGGCAGCAGUGAGGAAUAUUGGUCAAUGGUCGGCAGACUGAACCAGCCAAGUCGCGUGAGGGAAGACGGCCCUACGGGUUGUAAACCUCUUUUGUCGGAGAGUAAAGUACGCUACGUGUAGCGUAUUGCAAGUAUCCGAAGAAAAAGCAUCGGCUAACUCCGUGCCAGCAGCCGCGGUAAUACGGAGGAUGCGAGCGUUAUCCGGAUUUAUUGGGUUUAAAGGGUGCGUAGGCGGCACGCCAAGUCAGCGGUGAAAUUUCCGGGCUCAACCCGGACUGUGCCGUUGAAACUGGCGAGCUAGAGUGCACAAGAGGCAGGCGGAAUGCGUGGUGUAGCGGUGAAAUGCAUAGAUAUCACGCAGAACCCCGAUUGCGAAGGCAGCCUGCUAGGGUGCGACAGACGCUGAGGCACGAAAGCGUGGGUAUCGAACAGGAUUAGAUACCCUGGUAGUCCACGCAGUAAACGAUGAAUACUAACUGUUUGCGAUACAAUGUAAGCGGUACAGCGAAAGCGUUAAGUAUUCCACCUGGGGAGUACGCCGGCAACGGUGAAACUCAAAGGAAUUGACGGGGGCCC
rnacentral:rRNA from 1 species